ensembl:antisense Gm12246 predicted gene 12246
AAUCUGCCUGCCUCUGCCUCCGGAGUGCUGGGAUUAAAGGUGUGCGCCACCACACCCGGCUUUUUUGUUUUGUUUUUUUCAGCUCUGUUUCUUUACCUCGACAACUGAGCUUUAAGAGAGUGAGCAGAGCCAGGCAAAGAACCCAGUGCAAACACUUUGGCUUUAUUUUUGUCUCACCUCAGGAAACAUGGAACUUCCUACACAGCUCAGAAUCUGUGGUGAUCCUCCUGACACAGCAUCAUUGCCUUUUAAAGACAUUGUCCGGCCCAGUCUAAUUUGAGGUGGUUAUAUUGUGCUAUAAUGGGAGGACGUCCGGGAGAGAGGUGUGUGUGUGUGUGUGUGGAUAGAAGAGAGCGUUGGAUCCCCUGGAACUGGAAUUAUAGACGGUCGUUAACUGUAUAGGUGCUGAUAACCCAACUUGGAUCUGCCAUCACUUUAGCCCCAAACUUUCUUGUAUUUUAAACAAACAGAGCCCCAAAUGAAUACACAGCUCA